rnacentral:rRNA from 1 species
UCGGGAAUUUUGGGCAAUGGGCGAAAGCCUGACCCAGCAACGCCGCGUGAAGGAUGAAGUAUUUCGGUAUGUAAACUUCGUAAGAAUAGGAAGAAUAAAUGACGGUACUAUUUGUAAGGUCCGGCUAACUACGUGCCAGCAGCCGCGGUAAUACGUAGGGACCAAGCGUUGUUCGGAUUUACUGGGCGUAAAGGGCGCGUAGGCGGUGUGUCAAGUCAGUUGUGAAAUCUCCGAGCUUAACUCGGAACGGUCAACUGAUACUGUCACACUAGAGUACAGAAGGGGCAAUCGGAAUUCUUGGUGUAGCGGUGAAAUGCGUAGAUAUCAAGAGGAACACCUGAGGUGAAGACGGGUUGCUGGGCUGACACUGACGCUGAGGCGCGAAAGCCAGGGGAGCAAA